rnacentral:rRNA from 1 species
AUUGAACGCUGGCGGCAUGCCUUACACAUGCAAGUCGAACGGUAACAGGUCUUCGGAUGCUGACGAGUGGCGAACGGGUGAGUAAUACAUCGGAACGUGCCCAGACGUGGGGGAUAACGAGGCGAAAGCUUUGCUAAUACCGCAUACGAUCUAAGGAUGAAAGCAGGGGACCGCAAGGCCUUGCGCGUUUGGAGCGGCCGAUGGCAGAUUAGGUAGUUGGUGGGAUAAAAGCUUACCAAGCCGACGAUCUGUAGCUGGUCUGAGAGGACGACCAGCCACACUGGGACUGAGACACGGCCCAGACUCCUACGGGAGGCAGCAGUGGGGAAUUUUGGACAAUGGGCGAAAGCCUGAUCCAGCAAUGCCGCGUGCAGGAUGAAGGCCUUCGGGUUGUAAACUGAUUUUGUACGGAACGAAAAGGCUCUGGCUAAUACCUGGGGCACAUGACGGUACCGUAAGAAUAAGCACCGGCUAACUACGUG